rnacentral:rRNA from 1 species
UGAGGAAUAUUGGUCAAUGGGCGUUAGCCUGAACCAGCCAAGUAGCGUGAAGGAUGAAGGCUCUAUGGGUCGUAAACUUCUUUUAUAUAAGAAUAAAGUGCAGUAUGUAUACUGUUUUGUAUGUAUUAUAUGAAUAAGGAUCGGCUAACUCCGUGCCAGCAGCCGCGGUAAUACGGAGGAUCCGAGCGUUAUCCGGAUUUAUUGGGUUUAAAGGGAGCGUAGGUGGACUGGUAAGUCAGUUGUGAAAGUUUGCGGCUCAACCGUAAAAUUGCAGUUGAUACUGUCAGUCUUGAGUACAGUAGAGGUGGGCGGAAUUCGUGGUGUAGCGGUGAAAUGCUUAGAUAUCACGAAGAACUCCGAUUGCGAAGGCAGCUCACUGGACUGCAACUGACACUGAUGCUCGAAAGUGUGGGUAUCAAACAGGAUUAGAUACCCUGGUAGUCCACACAGUAAACGAUGAAUACUCGCUGUUUGCGAUAUACAGUAAGCGGCCAAGCGAAAGCAUUAAGUAUUCCACCUGGGGAGUACGCCGGCAACGGUGAAACUCAAAGGAAUUGACGGGGGCCCGCACAAGCGGAGGAACAUGUGGUUUAAUUCGAUGAUACGCGAGGAACCUUACCCGGGCUUAAAUUGCAGUGGAAUGAUGUGGAAACAUGUCAGUGAGCAAUCACCGCUGUGAAGGUGCUGCAUGGUUGUCGUCAGCUCGUGCCGUGAGGUGUCGGCUUAAGUGCCAUAACGAGCGCAACCCUUAUCUUUAGUUACUAACAGGUUAUGCUGAGGACUCUAGAGAGACUGCCGUCGUAAGAUGUGAGGAAGGUGGGGAUGACGUCAAAUCAGCACGGCCCUUACGUCCGGGGCUACACACGUGUUACAAUGGGGGGUACAGAAGGCAGCUAGCGGGUGACCGUAUGCUAAUCCCAAAAUCCUCUCUCAGUUCGGAUCGAAGUCUGCAACCCGACUUCGUGAAGCUGGAUUCGCUAGUAAUCGCGCAUCAGCCACGGCGCGGUGAAUACGUUCCC